UACAGAGGUCUCAAGCGUUGUUCGGAUUCAUUGGGCGUAAAGGGUGCGUAGGUGGCGUCGUAAGUCAGGUGUGAAAUUUCGGAGCUUAACUCCGAAACUGCAUUUGAUACUGCGGUGCUUGAGGACUGGAGAGGAGACUGGAAUUUACGGUGUAGCAGUGAAAUGCGUAGAGAUGUGGAGGAACACCAGUGGCGAAGGCGGCUUUCUGGUCUGUAACUGACGCUGAGGCGCGAAAGCGUGGGGAGCAAACAGG
rnacentral:rRNA from 1 species